UACGUAGGGGGCAAGCGUUGUCCGGAAUUAUUGGGCGUAAAGAGCGUGUAGGCGGCCAGAUAAGUCCGCUGUGAAAUCUCGAGGCUCAACUUCGAGCUGUCGGUGGAAACUAUCUGGCUAGAGUCCGGAAGAGGAGAAUGGAAUUCCUGGUGUAGCGGUGAAAUGCGCAGAUAUCUGGAGGAACACCGGUGGCGAAGGCGGCAUCCUGGACCAAUACUGACGCUGAGGAGCGAAAGCCAGGGGAGCAAACGGG
rnacentral:rRNA from 1 species